UACGGAGGGAGCUAGCGUUGUUCGGAAUUACUGGGCGUAAAGCGCACGUAGGCGGCUUUGUAAGUAAGAGGUGAAAGCCUGGAGCUCAACUCCAGAAUAGCCUUUUAGACUGCAUCGCUUGAAUCCGGGAGAGGUGAGUGGAAUUCCGAGUGUAGAGGUGAAAUUCGUAGAUAUUCGGAAGAACACCAGUGGCGAAGGCGGCUCACUGGACCGGUAUUGACGCUGAGGCACGAAAGCGUGGGGAGCAAACAGG
rnacentral:rRNA from 1 species